CUUUUUUGGGUCAGACGUGAUUCCAGCCACACGUUCUGGUCCUUCUUUACUCUCCUUUCCUUAACUCCCUACUAGGUGUGUAAUACAUAUAAUAUGUAAAUUGCAGGAUGAGAUGAAUGAACCAAUCACUUCAGGAGGUGUUCGUUGAGAGCCUACUAUGUAUGAAUGCUACGAGCUGGGAUUAUGAAGAGGUGGCGUGGGAACAGAAGCUAGAGCACACCUGGAGACAGCGACUGCGAGGGGAGGUGGAAAAGACAGAGACUGUGUGAACGAUCUCCUAUCGGCUGGAUUUCAUGACACAGCAUCACACCAGCACCCAGAGAUCUGUGGGUUAACAGAAGCAACUGUGCCCGGAUGGUUGUGCAGUUAAAACUCUCUGCCUGUUGUCUUUCUACUCAGAAGGCAGUUUGGCGAGACUUUCUGUCUAGCAUGCCCACUUCCUUCUUGCAUCUUAGACUGCUCCAGUGCCUUCUUGGAAUGAGCGUUCCUGUGUAGGAGUCUAAAGCCAGCCUGACAGUUCCCCUGGGAAACGUCCACAUAUAAAUUCCGAGGUUCUCCUCAUCAACCCACUCCAUAAAACUAUCAGAAGAAAGUCUGAUGCUGGCAGGUCACUAAUCCAGGGCUCGUGCACAGGGAGAGGCGUGGGCCGAUAUCUGCAGGCACGUGGUCUUACUGGUGGCUCUCAGCAUGCAACCGGGACAAGGUGCAGCUCCCCACUGGCUCCAUUGUUCCUGCUAAUGUUAGUGAUGCUUGUAAAAUUCAUGUCCAGUAAGCAAUUUAGGAGAGUAAACAAGAAGAUCGACCUGUUUUCAGUGUGUGUUUUAGCCUUUUAACUCUAAGCUUUUCCCCGCCUCCCUUCCCCUUCGCUUGUA